rnacentral:rRNA from 1 species
GUGACGAAGCGACGCCGCGUGUGGGAAGAAGGCCUUCGGGUUGUAAACCACUGUCAGGAGUUAAGAAAUGUAAGGGUGCUAAUAGUAUCCUUACUUGACUAAGGCCCCAGAGGAAGCCACGGCUAACUCUGUGCCAGCAGCCGCGGUAAUACAGAGGUGGCAAGCGUUGUUCGGAAUUAUUGGGCGUAAAGAGCACGUAGGCGGUUCUGUAAGUCGGCUGUGAAAGCCUUCCGCUCAACGGAAGAACAGCAGUUGAUACUACAGGACUAGAGUGCGGGAGGGGAGAGUGGAACUUCUGGUGGAGCGGUGAAAUGCGUAGAUAUCAGAAGGAACGCCGGCGGCGAAAGCGACUCUCUGGCCCGUAACUGACGCUGAGUGUGCGAAAGCUAGGGGAGCAAACGGGAUUAGAUACCCCGGUAGUCCUAGCCGUAAACGAU